GGAGUUGUGGCUCAGUGGUAGAGCACUUGCCUAGCAUUAGCAUGUAUGAGGCCCUGGGUUUGAGUCUCAGCAUUGCG
rnacentral:tRNA from 1 species